UACGAAGGGUGCAAACGUUGCUCGGAAUCAUUGGGCGUAAAGCGCACGUAGGCGGCUUCGCAAGUCGGAUGUGAAAUCCCUCGGCUCAACCAAGGAAGUGCAUCCGAAACUGCAAGGCUUGAAUACUGAAGAGGAUCGCGGAAUUCCCGGUGUAGAGGUGAAAUUCGUAGAUAUCGGGAGGAACACCAGUGGCGAAGGCGGCGAUCUGGGCAGAUAUUGACGCUGAGGUGCGAAAGCGUGGGGAGCAAACAGG
rnacentral:rRNA from 1 species